rnacentral:rRNA from 1 species
UACGGAGGGUGCAAGCGUUAUCCAGAUUCACUGGGUUUAAAGGGUGCGUAGGUGGGCAAGUAAGUCAGUGGUGAAAUCUCCGGGCUUAACCCGGAAACUGCCAUUGAUACUAUUUGUCUUGAAUACUGUGGAGGUCAGCGGAAUAUGUCAUGUAGCGGUGAAAUGCUUAGAUAUGACAUAGAACACCAAUUGCGAAGGCAGCUGGCUACACAAAUAUUGACACUGAGGCACGAAAGCGUGGGGAUCAAACAGG